UUAUCUAGCACAGACCAGAGUUUGCAAGCCCUAGCACGGCAUUAACUGGGCAUGGAGAUGGAUACCUGGGAUCCCAGGACCACUACAGGGAUGGAGUUCAAGGGCAUCCUGGUCCACAGAGUCAUCGGAGGGAGCUGGAGGUGAACCCAGGAUUGGAGGCUAGAGAACUGGGAAGAUGACACGUGGGAGCAGAUGAAAACUGGAGGCACAAGAGAAGAUAAGCAAGGGAGUUAGAAAUGGGGACUGGGGCGGGGUGGGGGGCACAAAGGGAGGGACGCAGGAAACAGGUGGCGUGGGGGAAAUCGGGCAAUGAGGCAGAAAACCAGGAGCACUUAGAAGCGCAGAGGGAGGAGCUGGGGACAGUGGACAGUCCAGGGUGAAAGUUGGGCAAUGAAUUGGGAGAAGGGUUGAUUUAGGAAGUUAGGGAAAUUGAGGGCAGCAACGGAGAAGAAUGCGGUCACCGGAUGGGAGUUGGGGACGCUAGGGGAUGAAAGGACAGAAGCCGGGAGCACUCAAGGAGUUAACGGAGGCCAUGCCUCAGAGUCGCAGACAUGAGGACGGUCCUGAGCAGGGUCCGGGUGACGACAUCCAAGGCAGAGGCACCGGGAAGCUUUGGGGAGGGCACUCAGGCCCCGCCCCCGCCGUGCCGUCACUCACCUUGGCUUACUCAGCACUUCUCUGCCCUCUACUUCCGCAAACAAACGCGCCCGACCACGUGACGCCGCCGCGGCUCUCCACCAAUCCGCUGAGCCCGUGCUGUGGCCCCGCCCCCAAGCGCGGACCUCGCACGCGGUCAGGCGCCGCCAUCUUCUAUAAUUGCCCAAUGGAAGCCGCUUCUGUUGCCAGAGGGGGCGGUCGGGCUUCCGGCUGGAGCCAAUCCUGCGUGGCUGAUGGCGGCCAUGCCCGGGUCGGGCGGAAGUUUCUCGUGACUGCAGAUUGGCUGACGUGUUGGUCAGGGGCUGGAGGCUGUUCCUGGCUCCCUCUGAUCUCAAGGAACCCAGGGUGGCUGGGACUCUGAGCUUUUUGUUUAUGACAACACAUGAAGAUAAUAAAGGAAGUCAAUAAAGCCACGGAAUAUAACUGGGAAGAACCUGCUUUGACGUUGCCAGGUUCUCUCCAACCAGAUUGCAAAUAAAAAUGUGGAAGCUGGG